UACGUAGGGUGCGAGCGUUGUCCGGAAUUACUGGGCGUAAAGAGCUCGUAGGUGGUUUGUCGCGUUGUUCGUGAAAUUCCCUGGCUUAACUGGGGGCGUGCGGGCGAUACGGGCAGACUGGAGUACUGCAGGGGAGACUGGAAUUCCUGGUGUAGCGGUGGAAUGCGCAGAUAUCAGGAGGAACACCGGUGGCGAAGGCGGGUCUCUGGGCAGUAACUGACGCUGAGGAGCGAAAGCGUGGGGAGCGAGCAGG
rnacentral:rRNA from 1 species